UACGAAGGGGGCUAGCGUUGUUCGGAAUUACUGGGCGUAAAGCGUGCGCAGGCGGCUGCUCAAGUCAGGGGUGAAAGCCCAGGGCUUAACCCUGGAAUUGCCUUUAAGACUGCAUCGCUAGAAUCGUGGAGAGGUGAGUGGAAUUCCGAGUGUAGAGGUGAAAUUCGUAGAUAUUCGGAAGAACACCAGUGGCGAAGGCGACUCACUGGACACGUAUUGACGCUGAGGUGACGAAAGCGUGGGGAGCAAACGGG
rnacentral:rRNA from 1 species